ensembl:lncRNA
CUCCUGGCCCGACUGUUCGGCUAACGAACGCGGCUCCUGAAUAAGACGCCGUGAGGAGGAAGACAAAGGCGAAAGUGGCCGAGACAAUGUCCUCGUGUGGGAGAAUUAGUUACACUCAGUAGUCCAAGUAUUCAACGCAGAGAGAGGAUCAGAGAGGAUUAGGAGCAAAGUCCACACAGGUGGAUGGUGGAAGAGUCCACACGCCACAAACCAUGCCUUGUUUGGAUACAGCAGAGUGAUGGGGGAGAUGUGCAUGACUCUCACACACACUAACACACGGUCCUCAUACACACUCUCACACACACUCAUACACACUCUCACACACACUCUAACACACGGUCUCAUACACACUCUCACACACACUCAUACACACUCUCACACACGCUCUAACACACGGUCUCAUACACACUCCUCACACACAACUCAUACACACUCUCACACACGCUCUAACACACGGUCUCAUACACACUCUCAUACACACUCAUACACACUCUCACACACGCUCUAACACACGGUCUAACACACGGUCUCAUACACACUCUCAUACACACUCAUACACACUCUCACACACGCUCUCAUACACACUCUCACACACACUCAUACACACUCUCACACACACUCUAACACACGGUCUCAUACACACUCUCACACACACUCAUACACACUCUCACACACGCUCUAACACACGGUCUCAUACACACUCUCAUACACACUCAUACACACUUCUCACACACGGUCUCAUACACACUCUCAUACACACUCUCACACACGCUCUCAUACACACUCUCACACACACUCAUACACACUCUCACACACGGUCUCAUACACACUCUCACACACACUAACACACGGUCUCAUACACACUCUCACACACACUCAUACACACUCUCACACACGCUCUAACACACGGUCUCAUACACGCUCUCACACACGCUCUAACACACGCUCAUACACACGGUCGCACACACACUCGCACACACACUCGCACACUCAUACACACUCUCGCACACACUCAUACACACUCUAGCACACUCAUACACACUCUAGCACAUGCUCUAACACACGGUCUCAUACACACUCUCAUACAAACUCAUACAUGCUUUCACACACACUCAUACACACUCUCAAACACACUCAUACAUACUCUCAAACAC